AACGAACGCUGGCGGCAGGCCUAACACAUGCAAGUCGAACGCCGUGGCAAUACGGAGUGGCAGACGGGUGAGUAACACGUGGGAACGUACCCUUCGGUUCGGGAUAACUCAGGGAAACUUGAGCUAAUACCGGAUACGUCCGAGAGGAGAAAGAUUUAUCGCCGAGGGAUCGGCCCGCGUCUGAUUAGCUUGUUGGUGAGGUAACGGCUCACCAAGGCGACGAUCAGUAGCUGGUCNGAGAGGAUGAUCAGCCACAUUGGGACUGAGACACGGCCCAAACUCCUACGGGAGGCAGCAGUGGGGAAUAUUGGACAAUGGGCGCAAGCCUGAUCCAGCCAUGCCGCGUGAGUGAUGAAGGCCCUAGGGUUGUAAAGCUCUUUUACCCGGGAAGAUAAUGACUGUACCGGGAGAAUAAGCCCCGGCUAACUUCGUGCCAGC
rnacentral:rRNA from 1 species